GGAGGGGUGGCCGAGUGGCUGAAGGCGCUGGGUUGCUAACUCAGUAUAGGGUGUAAGCUCUAUCGAGGGUUCGAAUCCCUCUCCCUCCGCCA
rnacentral:tRNA from 1 species